CACAAAAGCAAGAUGGCGGCUCCCGGAAAGGGGAUAUUUUGGCGUCACUUUUGCAUCGCGGUAGGAAGUGGAGACGCGUCGUUCACAUUUAUAUACAGUCUAUGAUAACGAGCAGUAGAUAGCUGCUUGCAUUAGCCAACAGUUAGCUUCUUGUAGCAGCCCUGAAGUACUCUUUAUACAUCCAUGGAAGGACUGAGGACUGUUUUUAAGCUAACUGGAGAGAGAAGCAACCGGAGAAACAACCAGGAGAGUUAGCUUGUUUGUCAUUGUUGCUAAUGAUAUUAGACUGGUUAAGCAGCAGCCACAAAGUUCUGCUAACUAACAAACAAGAGGACCAACAGCCACAAAUGCAGUGAGACGUCAUUACAUGAAUAUUUCAUCUCCAUGAAGGAAAGAAGAAGACGUCGGAUAACUUUCCACCACAGCAUCAAUGAUCAUCGACCGGGCCAUGAGGGAGAGCGCACGGUUAAGGCAUCCCAAAUAACCAUCCGACAGCAACUCUGACAAAACACUCAAUACGGAGUGAAAAACGAGAGACAGCCGCAGAGUGAGACAGAGCAGGGGGAGUUAACAGACAGGUAUGGUGGAGCCCCACAACCGAGAACCCAGAGCGCAAGAACCUGUGUGUGGCGGGCGUGAUCCACCGGAGCCGAUGGACAGGACCAGAGGAGCCACUGAACAUUCAAUACACACCCAUCGAAGUAUAAAACAAGAAGGGCCUAGCCUUACGGAAAAAAGGAAAAAAAAACAUAGCAGUUGUGGCGGUUGCUUGAUAAAAUAGUGCCUUCUUUUCCCAGGUGUUAACUCUCAGACACAGUUUCCUCAGUCUGCUCAGUCUGCAGUGAUAAAUCAGGUGCAGUGGCAAUUUGUAUGAAUUUCUAUUCUAUCGUCCAAUAUUUUGCCCCUCUAAACAGGAACGUCUUAAAAUACAUAUUGCACGAUCCCAAACAAGCAACUUUCAACUUUGCUGCUUUCUUUCCAUUUUACCGCUGCAAAACCUCCGUGCAGCAAAUAAGGAAAAACGCAAAUCAUCAGUUUAGCGCAUAAAAAUGGCUGCACAUCGUAGUGAAUACCCGCUUAGUUGUCUAAACUCAAUAAAACUUUAACCAUAGAAGCGGCAGAACAGGAAAUACUGAUAUGAAUUGUUCCAGUAACCUUUGAAGCAUCAUUUAAGAAGGCUUUGAAAAACAGUGCUGCUGCUGUUCAUGGUGCCAGAUCAGAUAAAACUCAUAUAGGAUGUUUUCAACGGCGACGAUUAUAAUACUAUUGUAAGACUAUUAAAUAAACACUGCAUAUAUAGUCUACAGACUUUAUUACUUACCAGACAGAAAGACUAAAAUGACAUGAUAAUGCUGCUCUAUCUGUGAAAUAAUGAAAUAAACAUGAAUAACUUUUUAUCACUGAAAUUAUAGGUUUUACAGGCAUCUAUUGUUUUUACAACACUUAUAAUUUAGCACGUAGUCUAUUUGAUAUUCUACAAGUUAGUGAGAAACACCUUGAUGGACAAAAUUAAGUAAAUAGUUACAAAUGUGUUGAGAUUGGAGCUAAUUACUGUCACUACUAUUGAUAUUAAAGACCUCAAUGCUCAUAAUU